UACGUAGGGGGCAAGCGUUGUCCGGAAUCAUUGGGCGUAAAGCGCGUGUAGGCGGUUCGGUAAGUCGGCUGUGAAAGUCCAGGGCUCAACCCUGGGAUGCCGGUCGAUACUGCCGGACUAGAGUUCGGAAGAGGCGAGUGGAAUUCCCGGUGUAGCGGUGAAAUGCGCAGAUAUCGGGAGGAACACCAAUGGCGAAGGCAGCUCGCUGGGACGUUACUGACGCUGAGUCGCGAAAGCGUGGGGAGCAAACAGG
rnacentral:rRNA from 1 species